GCCUGGGUUGGCUCAGUUGGUUGAGCGUCCGACUUCAGCUCAGGUCAUGAUCUCACAGUUCGUGGGUUCGAGCCCCACGUUGGGCU
rfam:Felis catus isolate Cinnamon breed Abyssinian chromosome B1, whole genome shotgun sequence.